AAUCAGAAGAGAAGAAUAUGAUGGAAAAAAAAAGAAAAUCUAGUUAUUUUGGUUUGUUCUUUAUCAAAGCACCCACUGUUGGAUCGGAAGGGAAAUAUUUGUGGUAAGACUCCAAAUUUGCAUGUGUUUUUCUUUUUUUCUCUUUUUUCUAACAAUCUUCUUCCACACUCCAGAAUUAGGAGAAAUGGCUCAAUGAAGCUAUGGUCCCCUAUUUCUAAGGUAACUAGUAAAGGUAGCAUUACUGGCAUAAGGUUCCUCAUCCAGCCAUACCUUAGUACAGCAAGUCACAAGUGUCCUUUCCCCUAAUAAUCAUAAUGGAAAAGGCAAAUGUAAAUAACACCAGGGGAGAUGGAUCUACAUAUGGUGUGUGAUUCGAUUUUUCUUUAAUUUCUUUAUGGAAAAUGUA
rnacentral:lncRNA from 1 species